CUGCAGUUCUGCUUUUCUGUCCACCAACAGUUUUUGCUGUCUUUGGGCCAGGAUGGGAGUGAAAGGGACCUCAGCGCUUCCAGGCAUUUCCGGGCUGCAGCCCCGCCCCCCCAAGUUUGUGUGAUUGUCGCGGAGCACUUUCAGAUUCUCCAGCUCAGCAGUGGCACCAACAUCUGCGGGAGAAAGGCGCCCCUGUCAUUGCUAUGGACAAUUUGCUGGAGCAGCUCUCCCAGGCUCAGGCGUCCUGGAGACAGCCACCUAGAGAGCCAGGGACCAGGGUUCCACCUCCGCCCGUGACCUUGACUCCAGAAAACAGGCUCUGAGAUCACAGAACCAGCUGGAGUCCCCGUUCUCCAGUGGUAAAUCAUCACGGUCAAAAUAACAACUAAAAUGCAUGGAAUGAGCUCAAGAAGCUACAAAACCCAGGGAGCCAGCAGGUGGCGCCCGGCGACCGUAAUGGCCCCGCGCAGCUGGCAUUUCUGGUGCCUGCACCUGGGUCCCCUGGAGCCGCCUAGGGAGCAUAGGCUCCCCAGCCCAGGGCCCUAGUGGCAGCGCCCUCCCGGCUCUGACCAGCACUUUGUUUCUUGGUGCCUCAGUUUCAUCAUCUCCACAGUGGGGAGACUGACAUUCAUUCAUUGUCACGGGUGGAUGGGGUAAAAGUGUUAAUGUCUGUGCCGUUGUCAUAUAGGUCAGCGUUAGUUUUAGUCACCAGUUUUUGCUUUUUAAUUUUAUCCAUAGUUACUAUAUUGCACACGUUAUAUUUUUAUUAAUUAAUGUUAUGUUAUUAUGUUAGUUGGUCUCUUUCCAAGGAGUCUUAAUUUUAGUUUUCCUGGACCCUUGCUGUUCCCUCACUCCCUGUCACACAUUACUCAAAGUCCACAUAAUUUUAUGGAAUAAAUUUUAUGGUAUAAAUGUUUACACUGUCUUGAAAUAUACUUACAUGGUCUGUGUUUCGUUUCGUUUGUUUGGGAAGAGACAGUGUGUGGGCCUGGGGAAGA
rnacentral:lncRNA from 1 species